GACUCAGGUUCGACCUAGGUUUGACCUAGGUUUGACCUAGGUUUGACUAGCUUUGACCUGUCCUAGGUUUGACUAGGUUCAACCUAGGUUC